AGCCGAGUAAUACUAAUCGCCCGAAGCUUUCUUCGUGAAUGGAAAUGGUGAGUAGCAGGUAGCAAUACCUUGCUACUCGCAAACACCAAACAAACAGAUAAUCAAAAUGAUACUGUUGUCUUUUCAAUUACUUACUUCUUUCAAUCAUUGUCUUAGAUAGGAGAUAAUAGAUGUGAGACAUGAGAUAAAAUCUCAAUACUCAGAUCUUGAUACUCAAAUCUAAUUAAAAUAUUCAGGUGCCUAUAUCGGCGGUGUCCACCUCUUCCCAUUCCGAACAGAGAAGUUAAGCCCGCCAGAGCCGAUGGUACUGCAGUAAAAUGUGGGAGAGUAGGUCGGUGCCAAAU
rnacentral:rRNA from 1 species